rnacentral:lncRNA from 1 species
GGGCCGGGGGUGGGUGGGCUCCAUGUCCCUCCCCACUCCUCCAAUGGAACUCCUCCUCCCCAUCCCCGAUGUCUGCCAGGUUUCCCUUUUUCUCUUCCUCUGGGGAGAAGAAUGAAGAAGAUUCCCCAUCUAUUCCCUUUAGGUUGCCUAUUAACAAGGAAAGAUGUUGGAUCUACCAGAGAUGAAGCCAAGACUGACGUGUUUUGAAUCAAAGGAAGUGAAGACAGUAUAAAGAAAGUUGAUAAUAUAAUAAGAACAUGUUGUCUUCCUUGCAGGGUCCACAAACCAUUAAUCACAUCCUGUUACAAACAAAAAGCAAGGAAAAUUGGAACAGAAGAGAAUAAAAUCAAAAUUCAAUAAGUUUAAAGAAAUUCU